AGCGCAGGCGGACCGGCAAGUUGGAAGUGAAAGCUAUGGGCUCAACCCAUAAAUUGCUUUCAAAACUGCUGGCCUUGAGUAGUGCAGAGGUAGGUGGAAUUCCCGGUGUAGCGGUGGAAUGCGUAGAUAUCGGGAGGAACACCAGUGGCGAAGGCGACCUACUGGGCACCAACUGACGCUGAGGCUCGAAAGCAUGGGUAGCAAACA
rnacentral:rRNA from 1 species